AGAAAGAAAAGAAAAGAAAAGAAAAGAAAAAUCCAAAGUUUUUCCUUCUUUCUAUUUCUUUGGCUCAAUAUCAGUCAGUUAAAAUGUCAGAUUACCUACCUUAGUUAAAUCAGUGAAAGCAGACGUAGUAUACAGAUCACAAGUAUUUCUGCAGUACUUAGAAAGCCCACCCUUCUAACUGAGAAGAGAAAAGGAAGAAAGUUUAUUUUAUCACCAUCAGUAUAAACCUGAAACAGUGUAUGUGCCUAUUCAGACAGAUUUUCUGCAUUUACAUCUUCACAACCUCAGUUUUAGUAUGCUUGACAUUUUCACAAGACUCUUAAGACCACAAGCAAGGUUUAAGCAUGCAGGAUGAAGAUUUGAAGCACGUAGGAUGUAAUACACAUUUGGAAAGGAAUUCUUUCCUUCUUUGCAUGAAGCCUUGGUUCCAGCUGACACUGCAGCACUCCCUGAAGGCCCCAGUUGUGCUCAGGCCCCAGAAUUGUGCAGUGGGGUGAGUGUAUGUGUGCUCAGAGCACCAAUGACCAACAUGAUACUGCAAACACUUGAGCUGGAUGUUCAUACUUAUCAAACUGCACAGAUCAUGGGUACCAGUAUUCAUAUACUGCAGUCAGUUAAAAUAUCACCUAAUGCUAUAUAUGUGCAAAACAGAGAAUUAAUUCUGUACUAAAAGGUAACAUGUUCAAGAAUAGCAGAAAUGGACCCCAAACAUAUUUUCUGAUCUGUGAAAAAUGUUGGACUUUUCAAACAUUAUCUAAAAAGGGAUGCAAUGACUUAAAGGACUGAGAACAGUAGAAAUGGAACAAGAUGACAUGCGAGGAUGUGGAAGAUCGCACUCUGGAGUUAGAUUAUUUCAUGUUUUAAGUUUGGACUGCAGUGGCCAAAGGGAGUAGGUGGAAAGUAUUUUGGCAUUUGAUUUGAUCGCACAGGAUCUGCAUGUGAUAUCCACCCAGGAGGAAAAGGAAAAAAAAAAAAAAAAAAGAAGGCCACUGGGUUGCUAUUGUGGGAAAUUAUUUUAUGCUAUUAUCCUAGGUGCAGGUGAGGCCUCACUGGGUAUAUUAUGCGGAGUCAUAGUCAGAAAAAGGGUUGCCAAGACAGCACAGACUAAAAAGGAACCUCCUGUCUGUAAGGUGGUCAGAAGCAGAUGUCUUAGCUCAGCAAACGAAGUCAAAGGAGAAGGUGUGAUGGCUGUUUGGAAAUGUCUAAGAAGAAGGAUCAUCGGAUUAGGCAAAGAAAUGGUUGUGCUCCAGUGUGGAAGCACAGACACUGUCUUGGAAAUAAAUAAUGUAAUCUAAGCAUAAAGAGAGGUAAAUACAUUCACACUCACAAGACUAGUGGAGGUGGGGAACACUGACUUGCAGUGGGAGUAACUGAAUUCAUUUACUGAAGAUUAUUCUGAUCCUUUUUUUUUCCUUACAAGCUGAAAUCUCAAAGAAUCUCAAAAAAAAAACAAAACAAUCUAAAAUAAAAGAUAAUUUUGAAAGAGGAAACAAGAAAAAGAGCAGAUAGCCAAGAGCAAGAGAGCAAGAAUAUGAGAGAGGGAGAGAGACAAGGCAAAGGAGAAACAGAAGGGAAGAAAGAUGUUUUCAAAUAAAAGGAAUUGUUCACAACAAACUAUUUUAAUCCAUUCAUUUGAAGCACUUUUCAGUUGAGUCUUUUGCCAAAAUGUGCUCCUUCAUUAUUUGAUUUCAAUGAAUCGGCAUUUUCUUUCGUACCGAUAAAAAUUGUUACAAAACCCUAAAUCCACUACUACACAAAUACCUCUCUGUUAUUUGAAGUUCUCCUUCACUCGCAAUACCUAAUUUGCAGAUUGAUAUAAGUUUAAAUAUGUGAAAAAUAUGGUAAGCUUACAGGAACAGAAAAUUGGACUAUGUUCUGGCUUGUUUAUCGUUGCUGGGAAGAAAUUCUCAGUUAAUGUUCUCCGAAUCAAGGGAUUCAAAAGCUUUUCUCUAUUAAUUUUUGUGAUUUUAAUCACAGAGACAAGGAAAAUGCAAAGUCUCUUUUUCUUUACUAAGUCAUGUGGGCUGAGAGAAGAACCUCGGCUAUUUUUAUUUUCUGCUGACCACACAGAUGCAAAGAAUUCAACUCAUGAUUAAAUGUGCAUUUGAGCUGAGAUGUACUGGAUUUUGUUUGCAUGGUCAUUCAUACAGAGGAAUAUAUAAGCUCCAAAAAUACAUACAAAUUAAUCAUACACCUAUCAUAUCAUAUCAUAUCAUAUCAUAUCAUAUCAUAUCAUCAUAGAUUUAUAGAUACAUAUAGAUAUAUAUAGAUAUGAUACUAUGAUGAAUCAUACACCUAAUAUCAACUUCAUUAAUAUUAACCUAUUUUCAGGUAAUCACUGGUUCAUACAGGCAUAUUACAUCAUAAAUGAUCUUCAACAAUACGUAACAAUAUUUAUGUUAAAAUAUUUUUAUUUUCCCUCAAUUUUUUGAGGCAAAGUGAACACUGGAAUAGAAGUCAUCUAAUGAUGCAAAAGUCUGAGGAAAUCAUAAAUGCAGGAACACGAGUGGUUAGAACUGAAUGCUCUUCACUGCUCUUACCAUCUCAGUCUACAAACAUGACCGUGUGUCCAGAUGCAGCACAUGAGCCUUCCACAUGACAACUGUUCUAUGGCUCAGGUGUGAAGGAAAAGAGAAGGUAGACUACCCAAGCAAAUCCAACUGGAAACAGUAAAAGUGCCUGGAACAUAAUAGGAGUAUAGAAGCUGACUUUUCAUUUGAACGAAUGAGACUGAUCCUGAGUAGAAAAGAGGAUGGAGAUAUUAUACAAAAUUAAGAGAAAUAAUUCUCCAGCUUAAGAAGAUUGCACUGCAAUACAAAGAGGCGCAGAAGUGAUACGAAGAGCAAAAGGACUGUGAAAAUUGCACUAAAAUAUUUUGGUUACUUGUUUUACUUUUUAUUUGUUUGCUUGCUUUUGUUUUUAAUUUAUACUGCAUUUUCUUCAAUUGUUUCUCAUCAUUCUUUCAUGUUGAGCUUAAGACAUUUGUGCAAGCAAUUUUAUUUCAAACAAAAAUUAAGAUUUGGUAGAUAAGCAAAAAAAUACCCACAUUUUUAUAUCUUCACAUGCACAUGUUUUCACUGAAUUUACUCAAGCACCUCAUCCAGUCAAAGAGUAAGAACAAUCCAGUUCAACAAGCAAGAUCCACAAACAUUUCAAGUAAUAAAGAAUGACUUCAAAGAGCUUUUUUCUGAUGAAAACUGAAACAUCCACUGAGCAUAUUAGAGAAAGCUGUGUCUGUUCAUGCAUAGAUUGGAUUCUGGACCACAACAUCAUUUUCCUUAACCCACAUGAAGAAGGAUGAGGGAAAAGCAGAUAGGGAUAAACCUUUAGCACUGAAGCUGUGAUUUCAAGCCAAAGCCUGCCCUGAUGGAGCCUUAUGGAGGGAUUAUGAAAGGCUUCUACAGACCAGGAAAACAAGUCCUUCUUUCAUCCUGUAAACAUCAGAGAAGUGAGAAAAAACAGAAAGACCUGGAAAUGAGAAAGAUCAGUAAAGGAGAGCAGUAGAUUAAUCCAGUGUGACUGAGAGGAAGAACCGGGAAUCUUGGUCAAGCACAUCUGGAAGUUCAAUCAUGCAACCAGACUGUCCUCCUUUUUCAGGCUACAGCAUCAUGCCAUGUGGUUAUUUGUUUCCAUGUGUCAUAUUUAUGUAUCACAUAUAUUGUCUACAUAGUGACAACCACACAUAUAUUUAUAAGAUAUCUACUAAAAUGAAGAGGUCUGGAGAAGCCAUAUAGUACUGAAUUACAAAAUAAGAGGGGAAAAAAAUUCUUCCAGAAUGCUCCAUCCUGUGCUUUCUUCCAUUAUUCCGUUGACAAAACAUAAAGUACUUCCAACAUAUUUAACUUACUGAAGUCUGAAGACAUCCUUGAUAUUUACAUUUAUUUCUAAUCCGGUUCCUUUGUUACUGAAUCAGUUUAGAAAAACUUCUCUGUUCAGGAAAGCACUUAAACAUACACAGAAGGACAUUCUUAAAGGUAAGUGUGUUCCUGAGUAAAUCUUAUCAUUUAAUGUUAAUAAAAACCCCUUCAUAAACCA